GGCGAACGCUGGCGGCGUGCUUAACACAUGCAAGUCGAACGGAAAGGCCCUGCUUUUGUGGGGUGCUCGAGUGGCGAACGGGUGAGUAACACGUGAGUAACCUGCCCUUGACUUUGGGAUAACUUCAGGAAACUGGGGCUAAUACCGGAUAGGAGCUCCUGCUGCAUGGAGAGGGUUGGAAAGUUUCGGCGGUCGGGGCUGGACUCGCGGCUUAUCAGCUUGUUGGUGGGGUAGUGGCUUACCAAGGAUUGGACGGGUAGCCGGCCGUAGAGGGUGACCGGCCACAUUGGGACUGAGAUACGGCCCAGACGCCUACGGGAGGCAGCAGUGGGGAAUAUUGCACAAUGGGCGGAAGCCUGAUGCAGCAACGCCGCGUGCGGGAUGACGGCCUUCGGGUUGUAAACCGCUUUCGCCUGUGACGAAGCGUGAGUGACGGUAAUGGGUAAAGAAGCACCGGCUAACUACGUG
rnacentral:rRNA from 1 species